UACAGAGGUCUCAAGCGUUGUUCGGAUUCAUUGGGCGUAAAGGGUGCGUAGGCGGCGCGGUAAGUCGGGUGUGAAAUCUCGGGGCUUAACUCCGAAACUGCAUUCGAUACUGCCGUGCUUGAGGACUGGAGAGGAGACUGGAAUUUACGGUGUAGCGGUGAAAUGCGUAGAUAUCGUAAGGAAGACCAGUGGCGAAGGCGGGUCACUGGACAGUUCCUGACGCUGAGGCACGAAGGCCAGGGGAGCAAACGGG
rnacentral:rRNA from 1 species